rnacentral:rRNA from 1 species
GUCCACGCCGUAAACGAUGUCUACUAGCCGUUGGGAGCCUUGAGCUCUUAGUGGCGCAGCUAACGCACUAAGUAGACCGCCUGGGAGUACGGUCGCAAGAUUAAACUCAAAUGAAUUGACGGGGCCCGCACAAGCGGUGGAGCAUGUGGUUUAAUUCGACGCAACGCGAAGAACCUUACCAGGUCUUGACAUCCAGAGAACUUUCCAGAGAUGGAUUGGUGCCUUCGGGAGCUCUGAGACAGGUGCUGCAUGGCUGUCGU